UACAGAGGGGGCAAGCGUUAUUCGGAAUUAUUGGGCGUAAAGGGCGCGUAGGCGGCUUUGCAAGUGACGGGUGAAAGCCCUCGGCUUAACCGAGGAACUGCCUGUCAGACUGUGAGGCUUGAGACCGGGAGAGGUGAGUGGAAUUCCCAGUGUAGCGGUGAAAUGCGUAGAUAUUGGGAGGAACACCAGUGGCGAAGGCGACUACCUGGACCAGCACUGACACUGAGGCACGAAAGCGUGGGGAGCAAACAGG
rnacentral:rRNA from 1 species